rnacentral:rRNA from 1 species
GGACGAACGCUGGCGGCGUGCCUAACACAUGCAAGUCGAGCGGGGACAUGCGACGGAUGAGAAGUUUCGGAUGGAUCUGAAGAUGUAUGUUCUAGCGGCGGACGGGUGAGUAACGCGUGAGCAACCUGUCCUUCGACAGGGGGAUAACACAGCGAAAAGUUGUACUAAUACCGCAUAAGACCACAACGGGACAUCCCGCGGGGGUCAAAGGAGCAAUCCGGUGAAGGGUGGGCUCGCGUCCGAUUAGAUAGUUGGUGAGGUAACGGCCCACCAAGUCAACGAUCGGUAGCCGACCUGAGAGGUGAUCGGCCACAUUGGGACUGAGACACGGCCCAAACUCCUACGGGAGGCAGCAGUGGGGAAUAUUGGGCCAAUGGGGGGAACCCUGACCCAGCAACGCCGCGUGAGGGAAGAAGGUUUUCGGAUCGUAAACCUCUGUCCUUGGUGAAGAGGAAGAGACGGUAGCCAAGGAGGAAGCCCCGGCUAACUACGUGCCAGCCGCCGC